rnacentral:rRNA from 1 species
AGGGAGCUUGCUCCUGGAUUCAGCGGCGGACGGGUGAGUAAUGCCUAGGAAUCUGCCUGGUAGUGGGGGAUAACGUCCGGAAACGGGCGCUAAUACCGCAUACGUCCUGAGGGAGAAAGUGGGGGAUCUUCGGACCUCACGCUAUCAGAUGAGCCUAGGUCGGAUUAGCUAGUUGGUGGGGUAAAGGCCUACCAAGGCGACGAUCCGUAACUGGUCUGAGAGGAUGAUCAGUCACACUGGAACUGAGACACGGUCCAGACUCCUACGGGAGGCAGCAGUGGGGAAUAUUGGACAAUGGGCGAAAGCCUGAUCCAGCCAUGCCGCGUGUGUGAAGAAGGUCUUCGGAUUGUAAAGCACUUUAAGUUGGGAGGAAGGGCAGUAAGUUAAUACCUUGCUGUUUUGACGUUACCAACAGAAUAAGCACCGGCUAACUUCGUGCCAGCAGCCGCGGUAAUACGAAGGGUGCAAGCGUUAAUCGGAAUUACUGGGCGUAAAGCGCGCGUAGGUGGUUCAGCAAGUUGGAUGUGAAAUCCCCGGGCUCAACCUGGGAACUGCAUCCAAAACUACUGAGCUAGAGUACGGUAGAGGGUGGUGGAAUUUCCUGUGUAGCGGUGAAAUGCGUAGAUAUAGGAAGGAACACCAGUGGCGAAGGCGACCACCUGGACUGAUACUGACACUGAGGUGCGAAAGCGUGGGGAGCAAACAGGAUUAG